CUCAGACCAGGGCUCCUACGCCCGAACAUGUCUAACUAAACUAGAAAAGUUUGCGGAAGGAAUUGUGAUAGUGGGAGGUGACUGGAACAUGGUCCUCGACCACUCGAUGGACAGCUCCUCUAGUACUGCAGACAGCAGGCGCCAUCAGCGAACCAUUCUGGCAAAUGCGCUUCACUCCCAUCAAUUAAUGGACUGCUGGCGUCUGCUCCACCCGCAGGAUAGGGAUUAUACUUAUUAUUCCCCAGUGGUGAAAAGCUACUCAAGAAUUGAUAUGUUUCUCCUGAGCCACAGACACCUCCCCAUAAUGGAAGGGGCCAGCAUAGGUAACAUCACAUGGGCAGACCAUGCCCCUAUAUAUCUGACCAUAACUCUACGGGAUGCCCCCACACACACUUCACACUGGCGUCUCAAUGAGACCCUUCUAGGGUCCUAGAAGACAUGAAAAAGACUCUAAGUGACUAUUUCAUAGACAAUACCUCAGCAGACACAUCGGAUGCAUGGGUCUAGGAAGCUCAAAGGGGUCAUUAGAGGAGUCUUGAUAAAAUGGGGCUCUAGGAUUAAGAAGAAAGAACACUCAAACCGGACACCUUAUCGAACGCAAUACGAGCAAGAAACACUACACAAGAAC